rnacentral:rRNA from 1 species
CUGGAAUGGCUUAUGGUCUAAACAGUUUACUGCCAUGGGAUGGGACUGCGGCCUAUCAGCUUGUUGGUGAGGUAAUGGCCCACCAAGGCUAUAACAGGUACGGGCUCUGAGAGGAGAAGCCCGGAGAUGGGUACUGAGACACGGACCCAGGCCCUAUGGGGCGCAGCAGGCGAGAAACCUUAGCAAUGUGCGAAGGCACGACUGGGUCAGUCCGAGUGAUUCCUGAUAAAGGAGUCUUUUAUCUGUCCUAAAAGCACAGGUGAAUAAGGGGUCGGCAAGUCUGGUGUCAGCCGCCGCGGUAAUACCAGCACCUCGAGUGGUCAGGACGUUUAUUGGGCCUAAAGCAUCCGUAGCCGGCUUUGCAAGUCUUCGGUUAAAUCCACCUGCUCAACAGAUGGGCUGCUGGAGAUACUACAAAGCUAGGGAGUGGGAGAGGCAGACGGUAUUCAGUGGGUAGGGGUAAAAUCCUCUGAUCCAUCGAGGACCACCAGUGGCGAAGGCGGUCUGCCAGAACACGUUCGACGGUGAGGGAUGAAAGCUGGGGGAGCAAACCGGAUUAGAUACCCGGGUAGUCCCAGCUGUAAACGAUGCAAACUCGGUGAUGCAUUGGCUUAUGGCCAAUGCAGUGCCGCAGGGAAGCCGUUAAGUUUGCCGCCUGGGAAGUACGGACGCAAGUCUGAAACUUAAAGGAAUUGGCGGGGGAGCACCACAAGGGGUGAAGCCUGCGGUUCAAUUGGACUCAACGCCGGU